rnacentral:lncRNA from 1 species
UGCUCCUAAGUUGCUUCUGAAGCAUUAACGCAUGCUGUUUGCUUUGCAGGAAAAAAGAAAAGGAUGAACUGAGAAAAGCAGAGACGCCCUACAGAAGAAGCAUAACAGGAAGUAUAUACGGCAUUUGGUUAUUUCUGCUCACGAGUUGUGCCCUCUGUCAAAGUGCUGGUGUACUGUGGAAUCUAGGAACACGGAGGAAAGUUCUUGCUUCUCAACGUGUGAGCAGCUUAUGAUGCCUGAGACUUUUGAAGACACAGGUAAAGUGUUCUGCCAAGGCCUAUUGGCUGUAAUCUUACUGCAGAUCUUUGGAGAAAU